GAAAUAUGACUGACCGUCACCCAUAGCAGCUGAGAGCCUCCAUCUUACUGUUUGCAUCACCAAAGAGGAAGCAGCCUUCUUUCUCAGAGUUUGAAAAGACAUCACUGAAGGACUGUGAUGGACCCUUCUUGGUUAAGGUGCCUUCCCUUAAAUUAAUGAAGCAAAUCGGGAGGGAAGGUACUAUGGCUUGCCAGGCUCAGAUUGGCUCCCAUUAACUGUGGGCAGGAUCCAGGAUCACACAGCAGUAGGAAUCGUAUAGCUGGGAGAAGAGAGUCCAGGGUGUACAGAGGAAGGAAGAGGAAGCAGUUCCCAAAGAAGAUGAGAAAACUGAGGCACAAAUUGCUUAAGAAAAAUAGCUCAAAAAUGGCCAAUUCAAACCCAAGCAGUCGGUUCUACAUCACUCACAGUCCCAACAGUUGGCAGGUGAGAAGAUCAAGGCCCAGAGAAAAAGAGGAAAGUCCCCAUGUUCCUGUGCAUCAGGGUCUCCUCUCCACUCCCCGUAUCAGCGAUCUUUCUCACCCUGCCACUGCCUCCCGUGUCGUAACAGUUCAGAGGACACUGAAGGCUGGGAGGUGCCGGAAAAGCAGAGCUGGAAGGGCACAGAGAGAUCCCAUCUCCUGCCACUGUACAGACAGUGAGACUCGCCUUAGGUCACAGGACGAGUCAGUGUUGGAGACAGGACCAGAGCUCUCACCUCACCGUGUGAGCUGUGACCAGACUCUCCCAGCUGUGCUGCCUCCCUCACUCUUGAGGUCUCAGAGGUAG
rnacentral:lncRNA from 1 species